rnacentral:rRNA from 1 species
AACGAACGCUGGCGGCAUGCCUAACACAUGCAAGUCGAACGAGACCUUCGGGUCUAGUGGCGCACGGGUGCGUAACGCGUGGGAACCUGCCCUUAGGUUCGGAAUAACUCCCCGAAAGGGGUGCUAAUACCGGAUAAUGUCUUCGGACCAAAGAUUUAUCGCCUUUGGAUGGGCCCGCGUUGGAUUAGCUAGUUGGUAGGGUAAAAGCCUACCAAGGCGACGAUCCAUAGCUGGUCUGAGAGGAUGAUCAGCCACACUGGGACUGAGACACGGCCCAGACUCCUACGGGAGGAAGCAGUGGGGAAUAUUGGACAAGGGGCGAAAGCCUGAUCCAGCAAUGCCGCGUGAGUGAUGAAGGCCUUAGGGUUGUAAAGCUCUUUUACCCGGGAUGAUAAUGACAGUACCGGGAGAAUAAGCUCCGGCUAACUCCGUG